rnacentral:rRNA from 1 species
AUUGAACGCUGGCGGCAGGCCUAACACAUGCAAGUCGAACGAGUGGCGGACGGGUGAGUAAUGUCUGGGAAACUGCCCGAUGGAGGGGGAUAACUACUGGAAACGGUAGCUAAUACCGCAUACCAUCGGAUGUGCCCAGAUGGGAUUAGCUAGUAGGUGGGGUAACGGCUCACCUAGGCGACGAUCCCUAGCUGGUCUGAGAGGAUGACCAUCCACACUGGAACUGAGACACGGUCCAGACUCCUACGGGAGGCAGCAGUGGGGAAUAUUGCACAAUUGGCGCAAGCCUGAUGCAGCCAUGCCGCGUGUAUGAAGAAGUCCUUCGGGUUGUAAAGUACUUUCAGCGUGGAUGCAUUACUCGCAGAAGAAGCACCGGCUAACUCCUUGCCAGCAGCCGCGGUAAUUC